AUUGAACGCUGGCGGCAGGCCUAACACAUGCAAGUCGAGCGAGCGGCGGACGGGUGAGUAAUAUAUGGGGAUCUGCCCGAUAGAGGGGGAUUAAUUCUGGAAACCGUAGCUAAUACCCCAUACUAUUGUCUCUACCCUGAUGGGCUUAGCUAGUGGGGGAGGUAAUGGCUCACCUAGGCGACGAUCCCUAGCUGGGCUGAGAGGAUGAGCAGCCACACUGGGACUGAGACACGGUCCAGACUCCUACGGGAGGCAGCAGUGGGGAAUAUUGCACAAUGGGCGCAAGCCUGAUACAGCCAUGCCGCGUGUAUGAAGAAGGCCCUAGGGUUGUAAAGUACUUUCAGUAGGGAGGCGUUAAAGAAAGAAGAAGCACCGGCUAACUCCGUGCCAGCCGCCGCGGUAAUAG
rnacentral:rRNA from 1 species